CUGUAUGUAGAAGCUCUCCAGAAGAUAAAGCAAAGCUAGUGGAGGGGGCAGAGAAAUGGGGGAAUGUGACACAAAGGCCAAAGCCUUCCAAGAAGAAUUCUUGAUGUCUGUAGUUUCAGAAUAGAUUCCAGGGCCUCCCUGUUGAUGAUAUAUCUGGACCCCUGGAUGAAGAGCAGCUGCCACAAGCUUCAUGGAUUCAGAAAGAGUACUGUACUGUAUUAUACAUUUAUCUGUGAAGUUUGAGUUCAGGUCAUCAUCAUUAUACAGGGGUAGAUUUGUCACCAUCCAUCCAGUACACAGUUUGAUCACACCCAUUAACUGUGGACUUCCAGCAAACACAGCAGCAAUAGGAGCCUGUCUUCUGUAAAAAAUAAUAAUGUCUUGUCUCUCAUACAUUCCAUGGAGGCAUCUGUAGAGUUCAGAAAUGCUCUUCGAGCCAGACUUUGCUCCUGGAGGUAGGGUCAGUUCUCAGGCUGGUAAGAAUCCAGAUGGUGGUUUUAUAAGUAACUUGCCCAUAAUCAUUAAAAAGACCUGCCUCCUUGCCAGUUCACAGAAAAGCCAUUAUAAUGAAAUUAUAAAAGGCUUGAUCCAAUUGACUUAGUAGAUAAAAGACUUCUAAUGGAAAUAGUUCAGUUGCUGAAAUGCUGGUAACCUUAUUCUUAUGACUUCAAUAAAUCUUAGGAGGAUUCCGCAAUCCAUGCCUGGAAAAAGGAUUCCUGUCCAACAAUCUGACACUUGAUGGCCCAGAAGCAACCAAAGUCAGUGGUACUUUGGCACAGCUUGCAGCUGACCACACCUUUUCCUGUACAAUUAUACAUGUUUUCGUAACAUCAAAAUUGAACUCUGGCAACAUGCUCCUCGUGGUGCUGCCCCUGAAAAGGUUUUGAUUGGACACGUGGCUUUAUUAUUUUGCUUCGCUGACUGCAAACACUGGUUAUUGCUUUUAAACUCCUGAACAGUUUGGGCCCAUGUCAACUAUAACAGUUUCCUCCUUCUGUGUCUUCUUACCUCAUGCCAUCUGAACUGUUUUAUGCUGGAUUGUGUUCCUGAUUUUUUAAAAAAGGAAACAAGUCAGAGUUCCUGAUUCCAACAUUAAUGCUAAAGGAACUAGUUUGUCCAAACGUAUCAUUCUAGUUUCUAAAGCCCUGCUCAAUCACUGUGUAACAAUCAAAUUUCUAACAUGUGAAAAUGAUGGAGUAUCCAUGAAAGGUCAUGUGAUUAAACCA